rnacentral:rRNA from 1 species
GAGACCCACGCCCACAGUUGCCAGCGUACUCUCCGGAGUGACGGGUACACUGUGGGGACCGCCGCUGCUAAAGCGGAGGAAGGAAUGGGCAACGGUAGGUCAGUAUGCCCCGAAUAUCCCGGGCUACACGCGAGCUACAAUGGUUGGUACAAUGAGUAUCUACCCCGAAAGGGGAUGGAAAUCUCCUAAAGCCAAUCUUAGUUCGGAUUGAGGGCUGCAACUCGCCCUCAUGAAGCUGGAAUCCGUAGUAAUCGCGUUUCAACAGAACGCGGUGAGUAC